GAACAUCCGUGCAAACUCUCUGCUGCCAUUUAUAUUGCUGUGUGCAUGGACUGAAACAUUGGCUGCGCCUCCAAAAAAACCCAUAACAGCGCCUUUGUCUUCUUCGGGGCGGCAGCUUCAAGGUGCAGUCCCGGAGAAGGCAAGACUGUUUGCCAACAAACUGGCUCCAGUGACGAACGGUGCUCAACGGUUUUUUCAACACCUGGGACUUCCAUCUUUCCUUGGAGGAGGAGGACGAAAAAGGAGAGACCCGAAGGGCGACAGAACAGGAAGGAAUUGUAGAAAAGACGGUGACUGCGGAAACCCAGACAUGUUUUGUUGUGUGGCGAAUGGUCAAAAUGAGAAAGUUGGAUUAUGCAAAGUUAAACCUUUAUUUCGGCAAACCUGUUCACCAGACACUAACUCAAAGGGUCUGCACCUAUAUGAAUGCCCUUGCCAACGAGGUUAUACUUGCUUCAUAUCCAGCUCUACUGCUCAGACAGGUACUUGCAUUUUACAAACGUGAUAUUGAAGGUGUAAUGCCGAACACAGCGCACUUUCAUUGAACUGCGUACCGGUUGAUGUCGUGGAGGUGAGAGUUUAUAGGGAGGAAAUAAAAAUAUAUUACUUCGCUU